AGCAUGCUUGUGCAGACACUUGUUAUGAGCUGCUUGACUGAGCAAGGCUGUUCCGGAUAUAAGAUAUGGUGUACUUCUGAGGAAAACUCUUUCAAAACUGGCGAGAUUACCUAGGACGCCUGUUAAGGGAUUCAUAUUUCCAGUUUUGUGAAGAAUGAAGAUUUGUUUGGCAUCUCUGGCUUCAAAGUACUGUGUUAAGUUUUGUACUCCAGCUGUGAAGAUUUGGCCUUGAACUUUUUCACUUGUAAUUUGUAUAUUCUUCCCAGUCUGUUUGUACUGACAUUCUAGUCUGCUGCAAUUUUUGUGACUCUUUGUCAUUAUAUCUUGGUUUGUAAACCUGGCAAAUAUUUGUAGCAUGCUUUCAUGUUUAUUCACUAGUAUUUAUAUGCAUAUAUAUUUACCUUGUUCGAGGUUUUUUCACGGA